CAGCAGCCGCGGGAAAACGUAGGUGGCAAGCGUUGUCCGGAAUUAUUGGGCGUAGAGCGCGCGCAGGCGGAUAGGUCAGUCUGUCUUAAAAGUUCGGGGCUCAACCCCGUGAUGGGAUGGAAACUAGUAGGCUAGAGUAUCGGAGAGGAAAGCGGAAUUCCUAGUGUAGCGGUGAAAUGCGUAGAUAUUAGGAAGAACACCAGUGGCGAAGGCGGCUUUCUGGACGAAAACUGACGCUGAGGCGCGAAAGCCAGGGGAGCGAACGGGAUUAGAUACCCCAGUAGUCCCUGUCUCUUAUACA
rnacentral:rRNA from 1 species